AAUUUUCAGCUAGGUGCUGGCCGAUGUGGUAUUAGCAGUCUCAUCUGAGAUUAUAAAACCAUUCAAUUAGCAAUCCCCGAAAAAAAGUGAUGAGGAGUGGCAUAUUGUUUAUGAUAUCUUACCUUGUUAACAUUACAGCUAGCAGUGGGCCAGAGCUCUUGGUUUUGCAAUACCCCGAAGAUGCCAGUGUGCUCCUUAACUCCACUGUGUGGAUGCUUUGUGUCUUUGAAUACCCCAAGGAGGAGAAUGAGGAGCCAGUUGUGUACUGGAGGAAGGGCCCCAGCUGUGACAACCAGCAGAGUCUUCGGUCAAGUUCAGGAGCAGGCAGGCCACACAUACACAUUAUCAAGGACAUAUUCAGGGGAUUCUCUAUCUUAAAACUGAGCAGUGUUGACAAGAAUGACAGCAGCUCAUAUUUCUGUGAUGUGAUACUAACCCAGAAAACCCACGGCAAAUGUGGAAAAGGAACCAAGCUGACAGUGCACGGUAAGGGGUAUCUGAUAGUCACAGAAAUUGUAUUAAUGGAUACAAGAUUUCAUAUGCAAAGACUGUAUAAGAUCAGAACCGACUUGGUGGUGUUGGUUCCUUCUUCUUGGAUACACUCUCUUUGUCACCACAGUUAUCAUAGCUUUUGGUAUUCAUCAGUGCUGUAAAAAGUGCAAGAAUGAUUCAAGAAAUACAGAUAGCAGCACUACCCUGCCAAGUGAAUGGAUUUAUGAUAAGCCAUCCAAACCUGUUAAUAAUGGGUCUAACCAAGAAUAUGAAGAUAUGUCACUAAUAAGAACUUUCAGUCACAUUGAAAGGAAAGUGAUAUGAAAAACAAGCCUCACAGUUGCAACCAUAAUGCUAUCAGCAUGUGAAUGUGUACUACUUCAGGAUACAGAAGAAACAUACACACAAGUCAUUUUGUGAACUUGGAAUCCUCUUUGUUCAAGAUUUUUUCAUCUAUUUAUGUAUAUACUUCAAAACUAAUGAAAUCAACACUCAAUACAACUACAAAUGCAAUGAUCUUUAGUAUGCACAGCUACCACCAAAGCACUGUUAAAGCUAAAGGUAUUAAUACUUAAAUGCCAAGAAAGCUGAUCAUAUAUGCUGAUUUUUUUUUUUUAUUUUAUUUUAUUUUCCAUUUCAAACUCAAGGACACAUUUAGAAUUUUGUUUUUAUCUGGGUUAAGACAACUCUUUGCUUCAUCAAAGCAAUGGCAAAUUCUAUACUACAGUAUCUGUCAGCAGCUGAGAUAAAUUUUAAAAAAAGAUUUUGUCAUAGAGGAAUUUCUCACAUGCUUCUGAUGUACUGCCUGACCUUAUUUCCAGCUCCUUAUCCUGCCCUCAUAUUUCUACAUCCCUGCAACUUCUUCCACUUUUGGCCAUGUAGCCAGCUACGCCACUGAUACAGUGCACAUUUGUACAUGCCUCUCUCAAAAGAAUGAAAAUACUGAAUGUGUUUUUAAUAGUUAUAAUUUCUGAAGAAAACAUAAUAAUUACUGAUGAAGAGCAUGUCUUUGCUGUUCUUAUUAUGGCAUAUCUAGCAUUAUAAUGUAAGCUAUUUGGAUUAAAAAUAUUUUUAUAAGUUGUUUUAAAGUACUUAGAAUGCUUUUAGAGUCCAUGUAAAUAGCAACAAUAGAAUUAAACUUCAUAGAAAGAGCUUACCAUAAUUUGCAUAACAAUUAAGCACUCAGAGGAAGUGGUGCCUUGGAAUAGUUAUGUACGUGUGACUUGAGAGAAGUUAAUACUUUGACAAACUCUAUUUGAGUUACUGAUUAUUUUUUUUCCCACAAACGAUUAAGUAUUACAAGCUGAGUACUAUGUAUCAAGUUUUCUUAACACUGAAAAUAUACAUUAUGAAACAAAAAUGUUCAUAGGCUAAAAUGCCAGAGAUUACAGCAUAAUACAUUAACUGUGAAGUAGUUAUAAAACAAAGAGUAAGCCCUUUUUUACUCAACGGGGCAAUAAGUCAUAGUUAAUAUUCAAGGCUGUCCAUUAUGAUGUGGAUUCACGUUGCUAGUGAAGUUCAGCUAAAGCUUUAUCAGUACUGUAUUUUUCUAAAAUAUUUGCCUGUUCUGUAAGUAAAAUACUAAUUAAAACAAUU
rnacentral:lncRNA from 7 species